AACAGUACUCGAUCAAGCAUCUCUUCGAUCUUGCUUUCCUGAGUUUGGGGUGGUGGAUUUUGGUAGUAAGAGUUCGAGUAGUUCUUGCUGUUGUUGAAGGGUUUUUGAAAUUGUGAACUUUGGUUACUUCUUUGGCCAUUUCCAAAGAAGUUUCUGUUUCCGCCUUGGUUUCCAAAUUUCUGGAAUCCGGUACCUCCGAUGUAGUUCACAUCUUCUUCUCCUUCUGUCUCUGCUACUUCUCCUUCAGCUGAACAGACUUGCUUCCUAAGAAGC
rnacentral:lncRNA from 1 species